GUAGCUGUUCAUCCGUGAUGAUGAUAGUUGGUAAAGUGGCGAUGUCGAUGGCUAGUCUACAGUAAACAGUAUGCACGAUCGGGAAUCCUUUUACGGGAAAAAAAAUGACAAAAAAAAUAUACUCAUGGUAUAAUGAUACACGGACCAUGCCUGGAUCGAGUAUUAAUUGAGGAAUUGGAGAUCGCAUUUACGAAGAGUAGGUUACAUAUAUACGUAUCCUACAGUAGUAGAGCCCGAGGUUGUUGGUGAGCGUUGGCUAGUAGUGAAGCUGAUACCACGGCCGGUCUGAAUAAGCUGAGUGAACAACCUCAAUUGGAAGACCUCAGUAGGGGAUUCCAUGGUGGCGCCGGGUCUCUGGGGUCUCCGGUCCAUCGGGGCGUAAUAAAAAGACAAGGAUAGAAAUAACAACCACCACCACUACUACUACUACUACUACUACUACUACUACUACUACUGCUACUAUAUCCACAAUCUUGUAGGAUAGUUACUACUACAAGCUAAAGGAAGACAUGCUGGAUGUAGACGGUAACCAAGUGAAGGAACAUCAGUUGAGAGUAAAGGCGUUUCUCCAGAUCCUACACUAGCUUACGCAAGCUGAUAUGGUGUUCCUGGUGUGGUUAUGUGUGGGUUUUUCUUAUCGUUUUAUCUUCUCACCAAGAGUCUUUGUCUCACUCUCGAUGAUAUUUCCUACGAUGAGUAGGCACUUGGCCCUCCUAUCAUCCUAUCAUCCUCUUUGUCUCUAUCUGUCCUCUUUACUCUGCCGCCGUCUACUCGGUGUGACGAGCCAAUAUAUCAAGAUAGUCACAGCAAACAGCAAGAUCAAAACUCGGUAUACAGGCUCUCAACUCCGUGCAGCUUUCAGCUCUACUCGUUCAGGGACGGGUUUGAAGUUGCCAAGUGGGGACAAAUACACCACGUUAAUAUUACUAAUACUGCUUUAAUAAUAUCUCAACCUGUAUUGUAUGUACUCUCUUAAUGCCCACUUGCCUUGAAUUGUGUUGAGCUGCAAUACUUAUCUGUAUAGUAGCGGGGCUUACGGUACAGGCUGUACUACACAAACCAGCAUUUACACCAACGACACACUGCCAAAGUCCAACGAGUCUUGAUCUAUAACACAGAUAACGCACUGUGAGAUGAAGAUGAUGAUUAUUGUAAUGAUAACAUGUGUGAUACUCGAAAAUUAUUGUUGAAGUUUCGUUAACUGUUGAGAGAAACUCCGAAUAAAAGUCGGUACGCAGCUGCUUCUGUCUAGUGUCUAGUCUCCUCGGGCCUUUUACUUAGUAAUAAACCCUAAAGAAGAGAUCCAGAGAUCUUGGACUAAGUCCGCUAUUGUAUUGUUUAAAAUUAUUUUCUCAGUCAUUUUAAAUACAGCUAUUAUUUUUACUCGCACAUAAACGAGUAAACGAUUCCAGAGAAUUCAAUAGUUUAACUCUGAAAAAGUAAAAAACAAAAGUUGGCAUUUAAAUACACACAUACUUAUACCCCACCGGAAAAUACAAUCCAAAAGGAAUUACUUACAGCUCAACAAAAACUACGUUACAAUCGGGAAUGCCGGAAGUUUAAAAUAUACAGCAGGUGUACACAUAAUCAUAGUGAUGCUUGAUCGAUCCUACCAGCAGUAUAUAUUCUGGAUGUUGGGUUCUGGUUCUUCCUCUUACUGACACUCCUUCACACCAGAUACAUGUGUGAAUUUACUUACACUGAAAUAAAUCUAUGUACAUUUAAGUGUCUUAUUCAGCAAGUGUUGGGUUUAGUUAUCUAAAGUAAAACCAACAGCCGGAAAUUGCGUAUCUUGUCGUCUACUGGCAGAGCGAGGCAUCCACUCUAUUUCUUCCCAUGUCGCCAUUAUCGGAGUAGAGGGCUAAAUAAAAUAAAAAAAAAAAAAAGUGUGUCGAUGUCGAGCUGUACUUUUUUGCUGUCCAGCGUUCUUGCAGCAGUUACUUACUAUAUGUAUAAUACCUCUACUCUGUACGUACGAAUGAACGUACAACGUAUGUAUAAAAUAACCUGAACCUUAAUGGUUCACAGCGGGGUAUAAUACGCAAGAUGGCGUCGUCGGGCGACAGCAGUGUUCUAAAAAUAAACCAUCAGCCUGAAGACUACAACUGCUCAAGUAAAGCUAAAGUAAGAAUAUAGUGCUUAUAAACUAUUCGGAGAUGGUGGGUGUCUUCUCAUCUAUUCGUUAGGUGCGACCCUGUGUACUGCGUCAACGUCUGUCUAGAGAAGGUAUUCAUGUUAUGUUGGACGCCGCCAAGUCGCCAGUGAGACGCCUAUAAUCACCGUGGUUAGCUGCGUACCUCAAGAAUAUGCGGCCAGAGAAUACGCUGACAAGAGUAAGAGCCAAGUGGAGCUAACCUAUAACGAAGACUAUACUCACAACAGUAAAAUAUAUAUCACCCGACCUUGGCAUAUAGGGUUUAACUUAUAAUUAUCCAUAUUGUUAAGAGAAUAAACAAAAUU
rnacentral:lncRNA from 1 species